GCAAGUCAUCGUAAAGAUGUAAAGAAUGAUCUGAAACUUCUUGCAGAUGAAGUACGAACCGUUAAGAAGAGUCAGCGUCCCUCCUUUUGUGAAUAUGUAGAGAAGGAGGAAUGUAGUUUCUGCUCAGCAUCAGUACCCUUUGAUUCUCCAGAUUCCGCUAUCUGUCAGGGGGUGAAGUGUGAUACUGGAACACACAAACUGUCUCGAUGUGCUGUUUCUAUGCGUAUCUGCCCAAUUGCUCCGCUAUGGCAUUGCAUGUGCUGUAAGAGAUGGGCUUCAAUAUUAGCCCCUUCACCCAUCUUCAAAAUG
rnacentral:misc_RNA from 1 species